UGUCCUCUGCGGUGUUUGUUAGUGAACCCGUAAUAUCCCUUGAGCCUAAUUCGCUACAUCGGGAACUGGUUAUUUGUUGUUGUUGUGCAUAUCCGCCACGGCGGAAAGCCUGAUACAACGGUAAUUGCUCCCACCUGAACCAAUUGGUUCAAGGUAAAAGGCUCACGACGGCACAGGUGGAGGACAU
rnacentral:other from 2 species